GUCUAUGACCAUACCACCCUGAGCGCACCCCAUCUUCUCUGAUCUCGGAAGCUCAGCAAGGUCGGGCCUGGUUAGUACUUGGAUGGGAGAAUAGGGAAGCCUUUCCAGGCAGAGGGA
rnacentral:rRNA from 2 species